rnacentral:rRNA from 1 species
GAUGAACGCUAGCGGCAGGCCUAAUACAUGCAAGUCAAGGGGCUCGCAAGAGCACCGGCGGACGGGUGCGUAACGCGUACACAACGUACCUCAGAGCGGGGGAUAGCAUUGGGAAACUGGUGGUAAAACCCCAUGGUGUUGCUGAAUGGCAUCAUUUAGCAACUAAAGUUUACACUUUGAGAUCGGUGUGCGUCUGAUUAGCUAGUUGGCGGGGUAACGGCCCACCAAGGCGACGAUCAGUAGGGGGUGUGAGAGCAUGACCCCCCACAUGGGUACGUGAGACAACGGACCCAACCUACCUACCGGGAGGGCAGCAGUAA